rnacentral:pre_miRNA from 1 species
GGUCUACAUCUUCAAAUUGGUCUACAUCUUCAUGUUGGUCUUCAAAUGAAGACCAACAUGAAGAUGUAGGCUGACAUGAUGAAGAUGU